GGGUCUUCCAGGAUCGCGCAUUAGCGGACGCUGGCUACGGGUGGCCGGGCGGGAUGUAACCGGCUGCUGAGCUGGCAGUUCUGUGUCCCCAGGCUUCGGCCCGGCCGCCGCCGCACAUAAACUGCGAGGAGGAGCUUUACGACUUCUCGGUCUUCGGGGCCGGGCGCAGCAAGGGCCAGACUCUGCGCUAGCAGGCGCUGCGCGCCAACCGGCCGGCCCCUGUCGCAGAAGGUGCAACCGAUCGCACUGUCGCGCAGAAGCUCCUCAAUGGCCAGCGCCAGCUGCAGCCCCGGCUGCCCACUCGCCUCACCUGAGCCUGGGUAUUCUCCAGAGUAUCCAGGUCCUUCUCAGAGAAUUAAAAAGACUGUACAGGUGGAACAAUCCAAAGUUUUAAUCAAAGAAGGUGGUAUUCAGUUGCUGCUUACAAUAGUUGAUACCCCAGGAUUUGGAGAUGCAGUGGAUAAUAGUAAUUGAGCUGGCAGCCUGUUAUCAAUUACAUUGAUAGUAAAUUUGAGGACUACCUAAAUGCAGAAUCGCAAGUGAACAGAUGUCAGAUGCCUGGUAACAGGGUGCACUGUUGUUUAUACUUCAUUGCUCCUUCAGGACAUGGAGACCGUUACAUAACUGAAGACUCCCACCUUCAGGCAGGAUUGGGUAGUACAUGUUUGUAACUACCUGGCAUUGCCUUUUGUUGAGAGACUUAAACCAUUGGAUAUUGAGUUUACAAAGCAUUUGCAUGAAAAAGUGAAUAUCAUCCCACUUAUUGCCAAAGCAGACACACUCAUGCCAGAGGAAUGCCAACAGUUUAAAAAACAGAUAAAGAAAUCCAAGAACAUAAAGUUAAAAUAUAUGAAUUUCCAGAAACAGAUGAUGAAGAAGAAAAAAAACUUGUUAAAAAGAUAAAGGACCAUUUACCUCUUGCUGUGGUGGGUAGUAAUACUAUCAUUGAAGUUAAUG
rnacentral:lncRNA from 1 species